rnacentral:rRNA from 1 species
GGAUGAACGCUAGCGGGAGGCUUAACACAUGCAAGUCGAGGGGCAGCAUAGGGUAGCAAUACUCUGAUGGCGACCGGCAAACGGGUGAGUAACGCGUAUGUAACCUACCCUGUACAGGGGGAUAACCCGGAGAAAUUCGGACUAAUAUCCCAUAACAAUAUCCGGGGGCAUCUUUGGAUAUUUAAAGUUCCGGCGGUACGGGAUGGGCAUGCGUAACAUUAGCUAGUUGGUAAGGUAACGGCUUACCAAGGCUUUGAUGUUUAGGGGUCCUGAGAGGGUGGUCCCCCACACUGGUACUGAGACACGGACCAGACUCCUACGGGAGGCAGCAGUGAGGAAUAUUGGUCAAUGGGCGCAAGCCUGAACCAGCCAUCCCGCGUGCAGGAAGACGGCGCUAUGCGUUGUAAACUGCUUUUCCAGGGAGAGAAACUUGCGCACGUGUUGCGCAAUUGACGGUACCCUGGGAAUAAGCAUCGGCUAACUCCGUGCCAGCAGCCGCGGUAAUACGGAGGAUGCGAGCGUUAUCCGGAUUCAUUGGGUUUAAAGGGUGCGUAGGCGGACUAUUAAGUCAGUGGUGAAAUCCUGCAGCUUAACUGCAGAACUGCCAUUGAUACUGAUAGCCUUGAGUUUGGUUAAGGUAGGCGGAAUGUGUAAUGUAGCGGUGAAAUGCUUAGAUAUUACACAGAGCACCAAUUGCGUAGGCAGCUUACUGAGCCGACACUGACGCUGAGGCACGAAAGCGUGGGGAUCGAACAGGAUUAGAUACCCUGGUAGUCCACGCCGUAAACGAUGAUUACUCGCUGUUGGCGAUACACUGUCAGCGGCUAAGCAAAAGCAAUAAGUAAUCCACCUGGGGAGUACGGCCGCAAGGUUGAAACUCAAAGGAAUUGACGGGGGCCCGCACAAGCGGAGGAACAUGUGGUUUAAUUCGAAGCAACGCGCAGAACCUUACCAACCCUUGACAUGGAUAUCGCGGACCUGGAGACAGGUCUUUCAGUUCGGCUGGAUAUCACACAGGUGCUGCAUGGCUGUCGUCAGCUCGUGUCGUGAGAUGUUCGGUUAAGUCCGGCAACGAGCGCAACCCACAUUUUUAGUUGCCAGCAUUCAGUUGGGCACUCUAGAGAAACUGCCGGUGAUAAGCCGGAGGAAGGUGUGGAUGACGUCAAGUCCUCAUGGCCCUUACGGGUUGGGCUACACACGUGCUACAAUGGUGGUGACAAUGGGUUAAUCCCAAAAAGCCAUCUCAGUUCGGAUUGGGGUCUGCAACUCGACCCCAUGGAGUCGGAAUCGCUAGUAAUCGCGUAACAGCAUGACGCGGUGAAUACGUUCCCGGGCCU